rnacentral:rRNA from 1 species
AAGCUGCCUGGAUAAAGUUACAAAACUAUCAUGUUAGUGGAAGGCGCCUGGAAAGGACCGCCAAAGAGUGUGAAAGCCACGUACACGAAAACUGAUAGUCUUUAUUGUUGCUUAUCUCGAGUAGGACGGGGCACGUGAAACCUUGUCUGAAUCUGGGAGGACCACCUUCCAAGGCUAACUACACAGUUCGAUCGAUAGUGAACGAGUACCGUGAGGGAAAGGUGAAAAGAACCCCGGAAGGGGAGUGAAAUAGAAUCCUGAAAUCAUGUGCUUACAAUGAGUCGGAGCCACUUUACGUGGUGACGGCGUGCUUUUUGUAGAACGAUCCAGCGAGUUACCGUAUAUCAGCAGGUUAAGUGUUUACGACACGGAGCCAUAGUGAAAGCGAGGGUUAACUGCCCGAUUUAUUGUUGUAUACGGUAGACCCGAAACCGGGUGACCUAACCAUGGCCAGGCUGAAGCAUAGGUAAAACUAUGUGGAGGGCCGCACCAGGGCACGUUGCAAAGUGCUUGGAUGAGCUGUGGUUAGCGGAGAAAUUCCAAUCGAACCCGGAGAUAGCUGGUUCUCCUCGAAAUAGCUUUAGGGCUAGCGUCGCGUGGUAACAAUUGGGGGUAGAGCUCUGAAAAGAACUGGGGCUGGCAACGGUACCCACUCUUACCAAACUACGAAUACCAAUUGCGGAAUCGCGGCAGUCAGAACGUCGGGGCUAAGCUCGGCGCUCGAAAGGGAAACAGCCCAGACCAUCAUCUAAGGUCCCUAAAUUUACGCUAAGUGGGAAACGAGGUGAGAUUUCUUAAACAACGAGGAUGUUGGCUUAGAAGCAGCCAUUCAUUUAAAGAGUGCGUAACAGCUCACUCGUCAAGAGAUCUUGCGCGGAAAAUGUAACGGGGCUAAGCAUAGCACCGAAGCUGAGGAUGUGUUAGCGAUUCGUCGCUAAUGCGUGGUAGAGGAGCGUUGAUAUUGCAUCGAAGCUGAACUGUGAGGUUUGGUGGAGCGGUAUCAAGUGAGAAUGCUGGAAUGAGUAACCAUAAGGCAGGUGAGAAUCCUGCCCACCGAAAGAGCAAGGUUUCCUGGGCCACGGUUAUCGUCCCAGGGUUAGUCGGGCCUAAGCCGAGGCGAGUAGCGUAGGCGAUGGACAACGGGUUGAUAUUCCCGUACCGGUAUAUAUGUUUCCUGCAAUGACGCAGGAUGGAAACGCGAGCGGUCUGCUGGCCAUGACCGUCUAAGUAGGUAGUCUCCGUUUAUUCGGAGGUGAGACACGAAUGAAACUGAUCGUAAGAUCGGAAUUCGCGCGGGCCAAACUGACAAGAAAAGCUGCAGAUUGAUAAUAUAUGCCGCCCGUACCGCAAACCAACACAGGUGCUCAGGUCGAGUAGACCAAGGUGCUCGGGAGAACCCUCGUUAAGGAACUCGGCAAUAUAGCGACCGUAACUUCGGGAUAAGGUCUGCCUCUGCGUUCCACAUAUUGUGGAAGGUAGAGCGAUGAUUAUCUUUAUAGAUACACCGCUCAAUAUUGAGUAGAAGUUCCAAGUUUGAAGAAUCUUAUAAAAAAUCUUUAAGUUUGAGUAGCUUUAAGCUCGAGUGCUUUGCGCAAUGCGUGGAGCGCGGAGGCCGCAGCGAAAGAGCCCAUGCGACUGUUUAUCAAAAACACAGGUCCGUGCUAACUCGAAAGAGGAUGUAUACGGGCUGACGCCUGCCCAGUGCUGGAAGGUUAAAGGGCGGUGUGCAAGCACCAAACUGAAGCCCCAGUGAACGGCGGCCCUAACUAUAAGGGUCCUAAGGUAGCGAAAUUCCUUGUCAGGUAAGUUCUGACCCGCACGAAUGGCGU